rnacentral:rRNA from 1 species
UACGUAGGGGGCAAGCGUUGUCCGGAUUUACUGGGCGUAAAGCGCCUGUAGGCGGCCUGUCAAGUCCGGCCUGAAAGCCCCCCGCUCAACGGGGGAGGGUGGCUGGAAACUGGCAGGCUUGAGGGCGAGAGAGGAGAGUGGAAUUCCUGGUGUAGCGGUGAAAUGCGUAGAUAUCAGGAGGAACACCGGUGGCGAAGGCGGCUCUUUGGACGGUGACUGACGCUGAGACGCGAAAGCGUGGGGAGCAAACAGG